CACCUCUCGGUCGCACCUGGAGAGUUUCCAGUACUCUACCAGUCUCGACUACGGGAGGGAGAGUCAAGCAGAGGCCUACCCAUUCCGUUCCUAGCUUGGGCAGUUGCUAGCGCGUGGAAGACAAUCUGCUGAAAGU